GUAGCCUAGUCAGGUAGAGCACGAGACCCUUCAUCUCAGGGUUGUGGGUUUGAGCCCCGCGUCG